rnacentral:lncRNA from 1 species
GCUUAGGUUACAAGAAAGGAUAUGAUUAAGAGAAUUCAACCAAAUUGCCUAUCCUAAGGGAGCAUUCCCAAAUAUUCAACUCUACACAAUUUCCAUUUCUUUGAUCCCUAUCUUUUUCUUUUUCUUUUUCUUUUCACAUCCACACAACCAUGAGCAUUUUCUUUGCUUUUUUCUUUCUUUUCUUUUUCUUUGCUCUAUGGUUUCAAGGGUGAUUUCUUUUUCUUGUUUCUUUUCAUAUUUUCACCCUUUCAUAAAAACUCACUUUUCCAAGUUUCUAAUCAACUUUUCACUUUAC